GGUUCGAUGGUGUAGUUGGUUUAUCACUUCUGUCUAACAUUUUACGUAAUCCACGUUACGUAGCGUGGAACACAGGCGGUCCUCAGUUCGAACCUGGGUCGAAUCA